rnacentral:rRNA from 1 species
CCGAGCGGCGGACGAGUGAGUAACACGUACCUAAUCUGCCUGUAAGUGGGGAAUAACCGCCCGAAAGGGUGGCUAAUACCGCAUAUGCUCUACGGAGUAAAGCUUUUGCGCUUACAGAUGAGGGUGCGUCCUAUCAGCUAGUUGGUGAGGUAAUAGCUUACCAAGGCUUUGACGGGUAGCCGGUCUGAGAGGACGAUCGGCCACGCUGGGACUGAGAUACGGCCCAG